CUACGUGCCAGCAGCCGCGGUAAUACGUAGGGCGCGAGCGUUGUCCGGAAUUAUUGGGCGUAAAGAGCUUGUAGGCGGUUGGUCGCGUCUGCUGUGAAAGGCUGGGGCUUAACCCGUGUAUUGCAGUGGGUACGGGCAGACUAGAGUGCAGUAGGGGAGACUGGAAUUCCUGGUGUAGCGGUGGAAUGCGCAGAUAUCAGGAGGAACACCGAUGGCGAAGGCAGGUCUCUGGGCUGUAACUGACGCUGAGAAGCGAAAGCAUGGGGAGCGAACAGGAUUAGAUACCCUGGUAGUCCAUGCCGUAAACGUUGGGCACUAGGUGUGGGGAACAUUCCACGUUUUCCGCGCCGUAGCUAACGCAUUAAGUGCCCCGCCUGGGGAGUACGGCCGCAAGGCUAAAACUCAAAGAAAUUGACGGGGGCCCGCACAAGCGGCGGAGCAUGCGGAUUAAUUCGAUGCAACGCGAAGAACCUUACCAAGGCUUGACAU
rnacentral:rRNA from 1 species